GAUGAACGCUGGCGGCGUGCCUAAUACAUGCAAGUCGAGCGAACAGACGAGGAGCUUGCUCCUCUGACGUUAGCGGCGGACGGGUGAGUAACACGUGGAUAACCUACCUAUAAGACUGGGAUAACUUCGGGAAACCGGAGCUAAUACCGGAUAAUAUAUUGAACCGCAUGGUUCAAUAGUGAAAGACGGUUUUGCUGUCACUUAUAGAUGGAUCCGCGCCGCAUUAGCUAGUUGGUAAGGUAACGGCUUACCAAGGCAACGAUGCGUAGCCGACCUGAGAGGGUGAUCGGCCACACUGGAACUGAGACACGGUCCAGACUCCUACGGGGGGCAGCAGUAGGGAAUCUUCCGCAAUGGGCGAAAGCCUGACGGAGCAACGCCGCGUGAGUGAUGAAGGUCUUCGGAUCGUAAAACUCUGUUAUUAGGGAAGAACAAAUGUGUAAGUAACUAUGCACGUCUUGACGGUACCUAAUCAGAAAGCCACAGCUAACUACGUG
rnacentral:rRNA from 1 species